rnacentral:lncRNA from 1 species
GGGGUAUGGAGGGUAUGUUGCCUUUAUCCCCAUAUGUUAGCGGCAUGGGCCCUCCCUCCAUAACAGGGCACCCAGUCUCCCUGGGGAGGUGAAGGCUACCUUUACAUGUCUUCCCAUCCAACUGGAGAGUGAAUCCAACAGGACAACUGCAGUGGACACCUGUCGAAGUAUCCUUACAGGUGCGGUCACAGCCUCCAUUGUUGACAGCACACGUUUCUGGCAAGGAGAAAUAUGGGGGAGGAGGAGCCAGAAGAAGAAACAGCUCGAAGAAUUGACUAUUGUUGCCUCUGGCAAAUGGGAUGAGGAAAUGGGAAGUUAUGAGACAAGGAAAUGAUGAGUUUCAUUACAAGCCUAGAAGUAAUUAAGCGUUUAUGUUACUCAUUUGUACUAUUUUCACUUAAGACAAUGAAAAUUUAUAAUUUCUAAAGAGCAGAAAAGAGCUCGGAAAGGUUACCUGCUUGGUAACCAAUGGCUGUAUGAUAUGUUGCCUGACUGUUAAAUCCAGAAACUGUCAAAAGAUGGGUUUUGUUUAGGUUGAGCCAGACUUUCUCCAGAAGGAGUAACGCACCAAAGGAUCUGUCUGACUCCCACCCCCAUGACCACCUCUAUUUCUGCUCAUCUCCAGCUUGACCGCUGGACCUUCAGGCAGGUCUUCCCUUGUCCCACAGCCAAGUGUUGCCCCUCUCCAUUCAUCUCUUCUACUAUUAUCAUCAGCUGAGUCAGAAAUAGAAGACUCAGUGGACACAAAAAAAGACUAGCUGCCAUUCUGAGCUAGAGGCUGCUUCAGAGGAAGACAGCUGACUUCACUGACCACCCACUCAGUCCCAGGCACUGGACUCUGGGCACCUUUCCAUAUUAUUAUCUUAAUUGAGCAUCCCAACUGAUAUGGCCAGGCUUUAUGUCCCCACUCAAAUCUCAUCCUGAAUUAUAAUCCCCAUAAUCCCCUCGUGUCAAGGGAGAGACCAGGUGGAGGUGAUUGGAUUAUGGGGGCGGUUCCCAUGCUGUUCUCAUGAUAGAGUGAGAUCAUGAGAUCUCAUGGUUUUACAAGUGUUUGGUAGUUCCUCCUGCAUUUAUUCUCCUUCCUGCCACCUUGUGAAGAAGGUACCUUGCUUCCCCUUUGCCUUCCACCAUGAUUAUAAGUUUCCUGAGGCCUCCCCAGCCAUGUGGAACUGUGAGUCAAUUAAGCCUCUUUCUUUAUCAAUUACCCAGUCUCAGGCAGUUCUUUACAGCAGUAUGAAAAUGGGCGAAUACCCUGGCCCUAAGAGGUAGACUUUAUUACAUCCAUUUCAAAGAAAGACCAAGAGACAGAGCCUCAGGGCAGUUUGCCAAGUCUUACAGCUAGGUGGGGGCUGCAUUGGGACGUUAACCUGAUUAUUCUGAUGGACACGAGACCAAGGGUCUUGCUUGGUUGGUGAUUAAGCAACAGCACUGGUGAAGAACAGACACACACCCUGGUUCACAGGAGCUGCUCACCCCAGUCCAGCUGGUCUGAGGGCAUGUGGCUCCCAAGUUCAGGUCUGAUGCAAUAAGUUGGGGAGGGAAAAGGACAAUUGCAGUGGCCAAGGAAAGGGAGUGAAGGUGCCUACCCAUGAGCAGCCGCCGUUUCACCCGUUUAUCCCCAUCCACCACUGAUGUGGUGUUGCUCUCUGUCACCUCCAGGACAGUGUCCUCUCGCUCUACAAGAGAAGCAAAAGAGCACGGUUCUCAGACUGAAUGAGUUAGAUUGCUCAUCCCCAUACAACUGUGUUUGCUGAAAUCCCAGACAUAAGAGGAAUGAAAGAUAUGUGACUCUGUUCACGCAAUAAAAAUGUGUUGUAAUGAGGCUCUGUGGGAGACACAGCCCGUUAAAGGGCCACAGAUCCUUAGCAAACAUUAAACAUGGAAAAGAUUUUGGAGGUAUAUUGCACUGACCAAAGAGACACUAGGGAAUGCAAGCUUCAGUCCCCUGAGUCGAGGAGAAAAAGAGCCUUGGGCCUGGAAACCUCUAAAAUGGAGCUAGUGAAGGACACACCGUGAAGGGCAAGGCAGGCAUCCCGCCAGAAAUAUACGGCCCUGGCUCCUGCUGGCCAGAAGUGCCGCAUCAUUAUAAACAGCUCUAACUUCGUGCUGCCCUGGCCUCCUGGGAGGUGUUGUGCCAGUCUCUGGAAUACCAGCGUUAGGAGCAGCCUAGUCCAGGAGAGGAGGAAGGGCUUCCCAAGGUCACACAGGGAGAGAGGGGCCUUCCCCACAGGCCUAGACCACUCCCACUGUAGCAUGCGAAGCAGCACAGGGCCUGCUGGGGGGGCAAAUGCACAGGAAACAGCCUGCAUCUGUGCUAAACACCAUUAAGGGGUAGGGGUAGGGACAGGCAGGCUGGUGCAGACCCUCACUCAGUGUUGGGGUUGCCACUCACCAAGGCAGCUCCUCCCAUCUGUGUGCAUCUUGUACUGUGGAUGGCAGCUGCACUCUGGGCCAUCGGCUGUAUCGUCACAGGAGUGCUGGCACCCACCGUUCCCAUGGUUACAGGUCACUGACAGCAAAAUGAAUCAAUACAUAAAGCACUGAGAUUUCCACAAACACAGGGCUGUGUUUGCUCCAGAGAAAUUCUGAUUUUCAUUCUGCAAGUAUUUGAGCACCUAGUGCAUGCCAGGCAUGGUGCACGAAAGACAUAACUCCAAGUCAGACCCUGUGGUGUCUGUGUAUGCAGAUAGUUACAAUACAAAUUGUAGAAAUGCUGAAACAUGGGUUUAAACAAAGUCAUACAGGAAGAGGGAGAUGGGAGAGUUGGGGGAGAGACUUUUAUUAUAUAAGGGAGAUUAUACCAAGAGAUUCUAGACUACUGCUUUGUUCUAUCUAGAGAAGUU